GAAUAAUCAUUGAUUCGAAUUCGACAUCUGUGCUCCAAAGGGACAUACUGCAUAGCAUUAACAAAAUUCAGCAAGAACGAACACAUGUUUCAGCGUCCCAACAAGUGGGUGUUGAGCAGAAUCAAUGGCAAAGACCGAUUACUGAGGUUGGGAACUGCCCUCCGAAUUGGUUAAUUCAGAUUGCAAGUUCAGCUUAUGUAGGUAAUAUUGACUUCGACAAAGCGGAAUGGGCCGAGUCCAGACAAGCUGUAGACGAGGUUAUGGGAUGGGAUUCUUAAAGACUUACGAAAUCAAGCUCAAAACUACCAGGGGCUUCGAAUAGAUUCUUAUGUAAGGCAAGGAAGCUACAGGGAAGGUCUGAAGGUUUACAAGGCAGACGAGUUUGAUUCGAUGCUAGAAUUUCACAUUGAAGGACUAGAAAAUCGAAUUGUGCAGACACCGAUUUAUAGAAAUGGGAAAAUUAUCACAGCAUUUUGCUACUUAACGAUUUCUGGUUUAAGUAUUGGCAUGUUACAAAGAAUAUGUCUCGAACUCACGAACGCAGGAAUAUUUGAAGAUAUGGAUGGGAAAGUCUCCUUGUCUUCGAAGUUAAUUCAUGAAAAGGUUUUUGAGUCUAUGGUAGACAAGGCGAUCAAAACUCUUUCAAAGACACUACAAGAUACCAAACCCUGGGAUCAUAUGGCAGAAAGUUUUACAUUGACACGCAAAAUGAAUCCUCUCGCAAUAAACGUUACCAUUGAAAUGAAAUUUUAUGGCAGACUAUCUAAAGUCAUUGAUCUAGAUUUGGUACCUUCUUACCGUUUACAUUACGACACGACAACACGGUAUGAAGGUGUUCGACUAAACUGUCCAAUUCAUGCAAUUUGCAAAUGGGUCGAUGGUGAGGACUUGAAUCAGAACCUGAUCUGGAGUCCAAAAUCCACGGGAUAUGAAAUGCAUAUUUUUGAUAUUGCCAGGAAGGACCAAAGAAAGCUUUACAUUCUUACAGCGUUGCGAAUCAUAAAGACAUAUUUGGUUAAAACGAAAGAGAUUGCGAAAGCGGCAGGCCAUCCGCCACCUCAGAUAACAACUGUUCUGAAGUCGUACCACUUGAGGCAGAUUGCAUUUUACGCCAUGUACUACUUGUUUCAUAAACACCCGAAUUUCAGAUUAGAUUGUGCACACACUGCGUUAUUAUACUUUAUUGAUUUCUUACAAAUUGCCUUGAAAGCGAAGCGAUUGCCUCAUUUCUUCUUUUCCAGUAGAUUAGCUCAAGAUAUGCUAUUCUGAUCGUUGUGACGUGCAUUUGCGCUUUAAUC